GACGGAGGAUGCAAGUGUUAUCCGGAAUCACUGGGCGUAAAAGCGUCUGUAGGUGGUUUAAAAAGUCUACUGUUAAAGCUUGAAGCUUAACUUCAAAAAUGCCGUAGAAACUUUUAAACUUGAGUAUGGUAGGGGUAGAGGGAAUUUCCAGUGGAGCGGUGAAAUGCGUAGAUCUUGGAAAGACCACCAAUGGCGAAGGCACUCUACUGGGCCAUGACUGACACUAAGAGACGAAAGCUAGGGGAGCAAAUGGG
rnacentral:rRNA from 1 species